AACUAAGUUUGUUCUGGGUAUAAGCUUUCGUGUGCAUGCAUACUUCUUCAGAUAGUAUCUGAGUAUCUUCAGAUAGAAGUGUAUCUGAAGAAGUGUGUAUGCACAUGAAAGCUUAUACCCAGAACAAACUUAUUUGG